GGGUCCAUAACUCACUUGUAGAGCAUUUGACUGCAGAUCAAGAGGUCUCCGGAUCGAACAUGGAUGGGCCUU
rnacentral:tRNA from 1 species